rnacentral:sRNA from 1 species
AGUAUACAGAGAAACCA